rnacentral:rRNA from 1 species
CGCGGCCUAUCAGCUUGUUGGUGGGGUAAAGGCUCACCAAGGCAUUGACGGGUAGCUGGUCUGAGAGGACGAUCAGCCACACUGGGACUGAGACACGGCCCAGACUCCUGCGGGAGGCAGCAGUGGGGAAUCUUGCGCAAUGGGCGAAAGCCUGACGCAGCAACGCCGCGUGGGGGAUGAAGGCUCUCGGGUUGUAAACCCCUUUCAGCAGGGACGAAAUUGACGGUACCUGAAGAAGAAGCCCCGGCCAACUACGUGCCAGCAGCCGCGGUAACACGUAGGGGGCGAGCGUUGUCCGGAAUUAUUGGGCGUAAAGGGCUCGUAGGCGGUUCGGUAAGUCAGAUGUGAAAGGUUGGGGCUCAACCCUAAGACUGCAUUUGAUACUGCCGUGACUAGAGUCCGGUAGGAGGAGUGUGGAAUUCCUGGUGUAGCGGUGAAAUGCGCAGAUAUCAGGAGGAACACCGACGGCGAAGGCAGCACUCUGGGCCGGUACUGACGCUGAGGAGCGAAAGCGUGGGUAGCAAACAGGAUUAGAUACCCUGGUAGUCCACGCCGUAAACGUUGGGCACUAGGUGUGGGACCUUAUCAACGGGUUCCGUGCCGUAGCUAACGCAUUAAGUGCCCCGCCUGGGGAGUACGG